CAUCAGAAGCAGGAAGCUGCUAAACAACCAGUGGGGCCACUGGAUGAUCGAGAUGGUAAAGGAGCACUCAAAGACGGAAAGGCCAUUGCAGAGAAACUAAAUGAAUUCUUUGCAUCGAACUUCACGGUGGAGGAUAUGAGGGGGAUUCCCACACCUGAGCCAUUCUUUGUAGGUGACAAAUCUGAGGAACUGUCCCACAUUGAAGUGUCAUUAGAGGAGGAUUUGGAA